GUGGUUUAAUUCGACGCAACGCGAAGAACCUUACCUGGGCUUGACAUCCCGAUCGCACCUUAUGGAAACAUAGGGGUCAGUUCGGCUGGAUCGGUGACAGGUGCUGCAUGGCUGUCGUCAGCUCGUGUCGUGAGAUGUUGGGUUAAGUCCCGCAACGAGCGCAACCCUUGUCCUUAGUUGCCAGCAUUCAGUUGGGCACUCUAAGGAGACUGCCGGUGUCAAACCGGAGGAAGGUGGGGAUGACGUCAAGUCCUCAUGGCCCUUAUGUCCAGGGCUACACACGUGCUACAAUGGCCGGUACAAAGGGGCGCAAGACCGCGAGGUGGAGCAAAUCCCAAAAAACCGGUCUCAGUUCGGAUUGGAGUCUGCAACUCGACUCCAUGAAGUUGGAAUCGCUAGUAAUCGCGUAUCAGCAUGACGCGGUGAAUACGUUCCCGGGCCUU
rnacentral:rRNA from 1 species